rnacentral:lncRNA from 1 species
UUGUAUCAACACUACUGCAGGAGUGAAAUUAGGCAUGAAGAACAGUGAACCCUCCCUCACCCUGUUAUCUCUACACUGUUUAUUCUAGUUAGCCAUUAGUCUAACCUUUUUUCAAGGUUUUUACCUUCCUUGCGACAGUUAGAACAUGCUCCUUUAGUUUGGAGAAGUGUGUUAUUACCGACCUUCUGAAGCCUACUUCUGUCAACUCAUCAAAAUCAUUCCCCAUCCAGCUUUGUUCCACU